rnacentral:rRNA from 1 species
GAUGAACGCUGGCGGCGUGCCUAAUACAUGCAAGUCGAGCGAACGGACGAGAAGCUUGCUUCUCUGAUGUUAGCGGCGGACGGGUGAGUAACACGUGGAUAACCUACCUAUAAGACUGGGAUAACUUCUGGAAACCGGAGCUAAUACCGGAUAAUAUUUUGCACCGCAUUGUUCAAAAGUGAAAGACGGUCUUGCUGUCACUUAUAGAUGGAUCCUCGCUGCAUUAGCUAGUUGGUAAGGUAACGGCUUACCAAGGCAACGAUGCAUAGCCGACCUGAGAGGGUGAUAGGACACACUGGAACUGAGACACGGUCCAGACUCCUACGGGAGGCAGCAGUAGGGAAUAUUCCGCAAUGGGCGAAAGACUGACGGAGCAACGCCGCGUGAGUGAUGAAGGUAUUCGGAUCGUAAAACUCUGUUAUUAGGGAAGAACAUAUGUGUAAGUAACUGUGCACAUCUUGACGGUACCUAAUCAGAAAGCCACGGCUAACUACGUG